CACCAAGCUGCUAUCACUCAAGUGUGACUGCUCUAGUGUGGUCUUGAACAAAACUCUUAUUCAGAGUUAAAUAUUUGGCAUUUUUCAAACUCAUUAACACAAAAAACCCAAACAUUUGGUGCACUGACUAUACUGGGAAAUAUUUCUCUGUCCAGUCUUAAUUUGGUUUUCUUGGCUAAUGUAGGACUGCUACUGGGACUUAUUGUUUGGUUUUUUUUUUUUAUUUUAAAAAUGAUAGGAGCCAGAGCUUCUGCACUUUGGGCACGUUACUUUUAAUAAUCCUAAAUUGUUGCUGUUCCUCCCAUUUUGUGAGAGGACAUUAUUCUCUGUCCUUUACUUGCAGAAAGAAAUGUUAUGGGGUGGGAAGAAAGGAAUGCCACAUAAACAGACCAUGGAACGUUGCUUUGUCCUCUUUUUCCUUCUGCUUUUCCUGCUGGUGGCUUUCUGGUUUUUUCUCAUUUUCUGACAUUAAAUGAAUUUAUUUCAGUUGAGGGAAUACAGCUGGUUUCUGUUGGCAAUUAGCCCCACCAGGAAAGGCUAUUUAUCCCACUUAAUUUGGGAGGGCUAGUUUGGGAAGGUUGGGGGCCUGUUAGGAGAGCACAAGUUUUUCAGUGCACGAAGGAAAAAUAUUGGUAACAUAUUAAAAAUGGUAAUUCUCGAACUCAUAAUGCUCUUUUUUUUUUUUGCUUUAAAAUAAAGGGUCUAAUAAUUUUUCUAAAAAUAAUAGCUAAGGUAAAUAUACUUUUCAAGCAGUGUGGCAAUGGACUUUAUCUUCUUGAUAAAUUACUAUGUUUUGAAAAAUAAGCCAGGCUACACCUUUACUGCCUGGUAAUUUUUUGUAGGCAAAACUAUAAUGUGCAUGUUCCAGGAGAAGAAAUAAAUGUAUCUAUGAAAGAGGGAUGUUGUAUUAACUUUCUCUGGAGCACGUUAUGUAUUCAAGCCAUAAUUUAUUUUGGUGGAGCCUGAAGAAUAAUCUUCAUGGCAAAAGUGAUUUAAUCUCUAGGUAGAAAUAGAAUUUAAAUAUAGAAGCAUUUGUUAUUUAUUAAUACUGUGUGAUUUAAUAUAUUUGUGUAUUGAGCAACUUGGUGCUCUUCUAUAUUAAAUAUUUAUUUUGCUUUAAAGGUGUUAUUAGAGAGUUGAUUAAGUUCUCAGUUCACUGUAUGUGUUUAAUGUUGAGAUGGUAGGUAACCAUCAAAGUAACACAUUUAGCAGCAAAACUGACCUACAAAAUCUAUUUUAUUAAAUAAUUUAUUAGCCCUCUGAAUCUUUUUAAACUUAGGAGUUAUCCUGUUUGUUUAAUGAUUUUUUUUUCCUCCUUAAUCUGUAUUGGGAACUUAUCAGCAAAGUGGCUCCGUGCAAUGACGUGCAUUUUCACAUCAGUGAAUUCUUUGAAUGCAACUGCUCAUUAAUAACUGCAGAUGUUGGAAAAUCCCUCUGACUCCAGUGCUUUGCUGGCAGAGGUUCUGAUGGAUAUUCUUAUUUUUGUUGGUAUCUUCUCUCUUUUCUUUUGUCUUCUUUGUAGAGGGAAACAUUUGAAGGACGUUUACAAACGAAACAAAAAAAAAAAAAGCAGAGUGUGGUAAGGGCUGUUGUUGAGGGAAAAGCCCUCAGCCUGUCUGUCUGUUGAGGGAAAAGCCCUCAGCCUGUCUGUCUGUCUGCUGGAAUCUGAGCUUUUUGAAGCUGCAGCUGGGCCUCUGGACCCCUCACGUGUCCAGCGUCUGGAGGGACAUCUGGGUGUCAUCAGAGGGGAAGGGGAAGUAGACGAGCUUUGUGAUGGGACUAUAUUUCCAGGAAGCCUGGAUGAAAAACAUGGAAUCUGUUUCAUGUGCUGCCAGUGCCAGAGUGUUGUUUGCAUGUUUUCCUCAAAGUUCAGGAGUCCCAUUGUGGAUGAGAUGUGAGAGCCAAUGUCAGACCUCAGGGAAUGUGGAGAUGAUCCAUCAAACCCAGAGGUGUUAAAUCCUUGUGUGGCCACCCAGAACUUGUGGA